GAUGAACGCUAGCUACAGGCUUAACACAUGCAAGUCGAGGGGCAGCACAGUGUAGCAAUACAUGGGUGGCGACCGGCGCACGGGUGCGUAACGCGUAUCCAACCUUCCCGAUACUCAGGGAUAGCCUUCCGAAAGGGAGAUUAAUACCUGAUGGUGUUCAAAUUCCGCAUGUUAUUUGAACUAAAGAUUUAUCGGUAUCGGAUGGGGAUGCGUGACAUUAGAUAGUAGGCGGGGUAACGGCCCACCUAGUCUACGAUGUCUAGGGGUUCUGAGAGGAAGGUCCCCCACACUGGAACUGAGACACGGUCCAGACUCCUACGGGAGGCGGCAGUGAGGAAUAUUGGUCAAUGGUCGGAAGACUGAACCAGCCAAGUAGCGUGAAGGAUGAAGGUUCUAUGGAUUGUAAACUUCUUUUAUACGGGAAUAAAACCUCCCACGUGUGGGAGCUUGUAUGUACCGUAUGAAUAAGCAUCGGCUAACUCCGUGCCAGCCGCCGCAGUAAUAC
rnacentral:rRNA from 1 species